UACGUAGGGGGCAAGCGUUAUCCGGAUUUACUGGGUGUAAAGGGAGCGUAGACGGCGAUGCAAGCCAGUUGUGAAAGCCCGGGGCUCAACCCCGGGACUGCAUUUGGAACUGUAUAGCUAGAGUGUCGGAGAGGCAGGCGGAAUUCCUAGUGUAGCGGUGAAAUGCGUAGAUAUUAGGAGGAACACCAGUGGCGAAGGCGGCCUGCUGGACGAUGACUGACGUUGAGGCUCGAAAGCGUGGGGAGCAAACAGG
rnacentral:rRNA from 1 species